rnacentral:lncRNA from 1 species
GGGUACAGGUCUAUGAAUCAUCAGUCUUGCAAGAUUCACAGCACUUACCAUAGCACAUACCCUCCCCAGUGUCCUCUUUAGGAGAAAGAGAAGAAGGUACAGCCAUCUAAAGUCUGGAAGUGUUGAAUUCAGCCCAAGGUGGCCACAUCUACAUGCUGCUGUAUUUUGUCUCCAUCACUCCUAGAGUAGCCUGGAGUAGCCACUCUCCAUUCAGACCAGGGGAGUGAGUGGUAGGAAACAUGAAGAUGGAAAGGGCACAAAUUGAAUCGUGUGCCUCUGAACCUCACAGCUUCCAUGUGCUUCCUCAAGUAGCUCCUUCAGUUUCAAGAUCUGGAUAAAUGGGAGUGGUCAUUUCUACCUCAAAGAGUUAUAGAAAAUCAUCAUCAUCAGUUACAGUCUCACUAUGUGCCAGUGAUGUCAAGUGCUUUAUUCCAUUUGAUUUACCUCUUAUGAGCUGGUCACCAUUUACGGAAGAAGAAACAGGGGUGACUUGUUCAUGGCCACAGCAAGUAAAACGGAGAAGAAUGGAAAGAGCCUGGGAUUUGCAAAUACAAGAACUCUAGAUGUCAAUGUUCAAUCUCCCAUACAACAGCAAAUCGAUACAGGGCAAGUUACUGAGACAUCCUCUCAAUGAAGAUCUCCUGAUCCAUAAAACAAAGGAAUUAACAGCAAACGAGAAAGAAGAUUGAAAUAUAUUGCCUUGUUCUGUAGAAGCUCAGUAAAUAUUAGUCUUCAAUUUGCCACGUCCUCUAAGCCUGAUCUACUACUACACCGUCAUACUCCACCUGCCUGUGCGUCCUCAAGAGAUAGAAAUGACACCAAAAAUAAGUGCAGUCCCAAAAUAUCUGUGCAUUUUAUCUACCAUGAAGUUAUAAGCAAAAAAAAAAAAAAAAAAAAAAAAAAAAGCCCUGCACAAUCUGGCUCAAGAUGGGAUUCUCCACAGCAAGGACCAGAACCCGCACCAAACCCUAGGCCCUUCUCUUUGACAUUCUAAAUCACAACAGUACCCACAAUGAUAUUAAGCCCAUAGAUUUUCCCCUCAUAGGAACCUCCAGGAAUAAGGUAAUGAAUGAAUGCGCUGAACUUUCAAGGUCCCACAGCACCAUCUCAUCUAGAUCAUACAACAAUCCUGCAGGAAUACUUAUAAAGGCAGGUAACAUUGUCUCAAUUUAACUGUAUCUUCAACCAGUGGGCCAACCUCUUUGUCAAUUUCUGGUUUUUAUAGUUUAAAAACUAGGUAGAGUUGAAUGAGAACUACCACCCGAAAAACAGAUCAAGACAGAAAUUACCAUAAGCAGAAAAGGAAUUUGUUAGACACGAGAAACACAAGAGACAGAAUCUUAGCAAUAUUAGAUAGCUGAGAGCACUCCUGAAGAGAUCAAGCCACUAAAACAACCUCACUCAAAGGCCACAGAGGACAACUGGCUGUUCCUGUCCCUGGAAUCUCUUCCCCAUAAUCUUAACAUCUCCUCUAUUGCUGUGUAAAUGUUUCAAGUCCCAGGCAGGAGAUUGACCACCUAGUGGAGGGAACAUACCCAUCACCUUAGCUGUUACAGAGCAAGGAGUCAGAUCAUCCACUCUUCCUCACCAAAAAAAAAAAAAGGUACCUAGGAUGCAGGGCCACCAAAACAGCAAGAAAUGUCUGAAGAUCUGCUGACCCUCCAUCACAACCCUAUGGAAGCAACUCUACGGUUUUGACAAGGUACUGACUUGCUCAGGCUCAUGCAGCCGAUCAAGGGCCAGCACUACGAAUCCAUCCAAGGCUCCUGGUUCUUGACGUCCAGCAAAACGUGUUUAAAAAGCAGAUCCUAAAUCGCCCUAAAUAUACAUUUUUUAAUGAAUGUGCUAAUUUCUCUUCACUCUUCUGUCAUAGACAGGACUAAGGGGCACCUGGCGGGCUCAGUCAUUCAGCGUCUGCCUUCAGCUCAGGUCAUGAUCCUGGGGUCCUGGGAUCAAGUCCUGCGUGGGGCUCCCUGCUCAAUGGCAAGUCUGCUUCUCCCUCUCCCACUCCCCCUGUUGUAUUCC